AACGAACGUUAGCGGCGCGCCUAACACAUGCAAGUCGCACGAGAAAGGGCUUCGGCCCCAGUAAAGUGGUGCACGGGUGAGUAACACGUAGGUAAUCUACCCUCGAGUGGUGGAUAACCCUCCGAAAGGAGGGCUAAUACAGCAUAAGACCACAACUCUCUCGGGAGUUGCGGCCAAAGCGGGCCUCUCCAUGGAAGCUCGCGCUUGAGGAUGAGCCUGCGGCCCAUCAGCUUGUUGGCGGGGUAACGGCCCACCAAGGCAAAGACGGGUAGCUGGUCUGAGAGGAUGAACAGCCACACUGGAACUGAGACACGGUCCAGACUCCUACGGGAGGCAGCAGUGGGGAAUCUUGCGCAAUGGGCGAAAGCCUGACGCAGCGACGCCGCGUGAGCGAUGAAGGCCCUCGGGUUGUAAAGCUCUGUGGGGAGGGAAGAAUAAGGGCAGGCCAAUACCCUGUCUCAUGACGGUACCUCCUUAGCAAGCACCGGCUAACUCUGUGCCAGCAGCCGCGGUAAGACAGAGGGUGCAAACGUUGUUCGGAAUUACUGUGCGUAAAGCGCGUGUAGGCGGCCAGGCAAGUCGGAUGUGAAAGCCCAUGGCUCAACCAUGGAAGUGCAUUCGAAACUG
rnacentral:rRNA from 1 species